rnacentral:rRNA from 1 species
UGGACCUGCGGAAGGAUCAUUAA